UACGAAGGGGACUAGCGUUGCUCGGAAUUACUGGGCGUAAAGCGCACGUAGGCGGCUCUUUAAGUCGGGGGUGAAAUCCUGGAGCUCAACUCCAGAACUGCCUUCGAUACUGUAGAGCUUGAGUUCGGGAGAGGUGAGUGGAACUGCGAGUGUAGAGGUGAAAUUCGUAGAUAUUCGCAAGAACACCAGUGGCGAAGGCGGCUCACUGGCCCGAUACUGACGCUGAGGUGCGAAAGCGUGGGGAGCAAACAGG
rnacentral:rRNA from 1 species